rnacentral:tRNA from 1 species
GGCCAGAUAGCUCAGUUGGUAGAGCAGAGGACUGAAAAUCCUCGUGUCGGCAGUUCGAUUCUGCCUCUGGCCACCA